rnacentral:lncRNA from 1 species
UCUUUCCUCGAUGAAGGUGAAAAUGGCAUCUUUUUUUUUUUGUUGGACAAAGGUGAAAAUGGCAUUUUAAGAAGAACUAAUAAUAAUAAGCUGACAUCUAUUACUCUUUUUCCUAGAUAAGGCCCAAACUCUUUUUACAAACAAAAUCUAUUUAUAUAAACUUACCAAUUUUUGCAAACCCAUAGCACAAAACAAUAACCUCCCCAAUUAUGAAUUGGAAGUUUUAAAAAGGCC